UUUACUCUAAAGUUUUUAAACCCGAGUUUGAUUUUAGCGGUUGCGAGCCCUAGUUGUUGAGAUCAGGACCUCUGAUUCCAAUGGCUUCUUGCUCUUACUUCCAGAAGACUGUCACUCUGCUAGACUGGUGGCUAACCAAACCCCCAACCAACGAUCACUAUCAAACCCUAACCCUAGGGGUUGCAGGCUUCACUUCUCAACAGAACCGGCCUGCUCGAUGUUUCUCUUCUGCGCCCAUACUCAAGAUCUUCGAUUUAUUUGAGUUGGAGACAGUUGAUGGUGUAUGCGUCAUUCUCCAGGGUUUUAUUAACAAACAACGCACCCUUGAAAAUGGAUUUUCCCCUCAGGUGUUUGAUCAUUUUUUUAUCGGGUUCCCCCCUUACUGGAAAGAAUACUGUCCCAAGAUAGAAUCUGCUGCCAAAUGUGUCACAGGAGUUCAGGAAGAAGACUCCAUUGAAGGAUAUGGUAAACCACAUAAUUCUGAUAGCUACACUGUGGAUAUGGGAGUUCAAGAUUGCAAAGACGUAAUGUUGAACAAUAAAAGUAGUAAUCCAUCCUCGGUUGAAAUUUCACAUGAGCAUAUAACUGAAAGAUCUCCUACGACAGCAGAAUUUAAGGAUGAUCCAAGUCUCGAGAUGAAUCCCGUUGACUCAUCCACACCAUCAAAGUGUUUUGGGGUUCCUAGCAGGCGCGUGACUAGAUCUAUGAAAAAGCCGGAUAGCAGUAAACAUAGUUUUCUACUAUUUAAUGGCAUUGAUCCUGGGAUUUUAGGCAGUUCUGAGAAUUUAAACAAGAAGGCUGUAAAGAUGGAAUCAAAAUGGAAACAGAUUGACCAAAAUGGUGAUGUUACUAAGGAUAAGAGAAACAACGAUGAUACUGUUGUAAGCAGUGAUUCACAUAUUAACAUAAGGAUAAGUGAUUUAGAGGAUACACACGUCACACCUAAGUGUUCUGAUCCAUCAAGUGUGGGUGUGAUAGAUGUAAAUGACGAUGUGGGAACUAACAUGAAAGGCUACAGAAACAAGAAAAAAAACAGAGUUAACAUUCCACAGAAAGAAGGUAUACCUGCAACACAUGGAACCAGUUCCAAAGCAGUCAAGACUCAGAACAGGUCUAAAACCAAACUACUGGUUAAAAGGAAACUCGUAACAAGUCCUAAAUCAGCUUUUUCAAUGCGCAAGAAGGAACGAGAUGGAAGUGCAAACAUGUUGUCGAUAGAAUCAUUCAGUGGGAAAAAAUCUAGAUCAGGAAGAGUGGUCCUACCGCCUUUGGAAUUCUGGCGCAACCAAAAGCUUGUUUAUGAUGAGGAUGGAGAGGUGUGUGGAGUCCAAGGACCUAUGUAACAACAAUGAAGAAGAGGUAGUUUGCAUGAUUUAGCAUAUAACGUAGCUAGUUUUUGGGGUGCACUAACGAUUGUUUGAACUUGACACCGAUUGAGACGGGGGCAUUUUGGUCAUUUUAAUUUUAUUAUAACAUAUUAAAGCAAGAGGACAACAAUCAACAUCUGCAGACAAACCAUCAUCUUCUUCUAACAAACCCAAACCCUAACCUGGACAACAAUCAACAUCUGUAGACCCCCGUUUCAUCUUCCCCAACGUUUCAUCUGCAGACCCUCGUUUCAUCAAACAAACCCUAUUUCAAUCUGCAGACCCCUGUUUUAUCAAAACCUAAACCCUAACCUGAACCCAAUUUCAAUCUGCAGACCCCCGUUUCAUCAAAACCUGACCUACGAACACAUCCUUAUUGCACCUAAUCAAUUCCACAAUCGCAAACGCUGAACGAGUAUUGGACCUGAACAACAAACAACAUCUGCAGAUCAUCAUCUUCUUCAAACAAACCCAAACCCUAACCUGGUCAACAAUCAACAUUUGUAGACCCCCGUUUAAUCAAAACGUGGCUCGUUCUCCGUCUUCAUCAUCGGCAUCAUCCUCAUCACUGGCAUCAUCCUCAUCACCGCCUACCUUUCACAAACCCUAGAACGAGUUUAGAGAGAGAAACAGAGGGUAAAAACUUGGGUUUUAGGUUUUAGAGAGAGAAAGAGGGGUGUUUUAGAUAAUGGUCUGCAGAUGACCGCCAUGCUGCCACCGCUUACCUUUCAUCGGCUGCAGAUUCUCUGUGUUUCACCGUCUUCACCAUCGGCAUCAUCCUCAUCACCUCUGAAUAUAGAUGUGUGUGUAGAAUGGCAUGAAGAGGAAAUCCGGCGACCGGAACUAUAGGGGAAGAGAGGAGUGUGGAUGGCGGUUAAUCUGUGUAGAGAGAGAGAGAACUGAGAGAGAGAGAGAGACAAUGAUAUGUGUUUUAGUGAGAGAGAGAGAGAGUUAUAU